AGUACACCCGAGCCGAUUUCGUGCUAAAGCCUUGGUAAACAUAAUGGAAUCACUUCAACCCACGAAGAAUAUAAGAAAAUACGAGGCUUACCUAACCGGAAAAUGAAGAACUCUCGCUGGAGAGUUUUCUAGGUUCGCCGAGUCGCGGGGCGACAUAAGAGAGAGAGAGAGACAGCAUAAAGGAGAUGAUGAUGGUGAUGUCUUCCUCGCAGGUGAUGUAGCUCUAUGUGUGUGUGUGUUGUGGUCAUGGUGCAAGAGAGGGAGAGGGAGGAGAGUUUCGAGAGAGAGAAAGGAGAGUGAGUGAAGAGACAAAGAGAGAGAAAGGAAAGGGGUCACGGGGUAAGGGAGAGAGAGAAAUGUGAGGUUUGUUAGGGUGCUGCCACGUGGCAACUCAAAUGGGGUAAAGGAAUAUGGACUAAAUUGAUAAUUUCAUAAACAUUUUGGGGAACAACAAAAUUAUACAUAUAAUUGGGGGUUGGGGUGUUACAGAUAGAGUUACCCAUUCACAAC
rnacentral:lncRNA from 1 species